rnacentral:rRNA from 1 species
AUUGAACGCUGGCGGCAGGCCUAACACAUGCAAGUCGAAUGGUAACAGGAAACAGCUUGCUGUUUCGCUGACGAGUGGCGGACGGGUGAGUAAUGUCUGGGAAACUGCCUGAUGGAGGGGGAUGACUACUGGAAACGGUAGCUAAUACCGCAUAACGUCGCAAGACCAAAGAGGGGGACCUUCGGGCCUCUUGCCAUCAGAUGUGCCCAGAUGGGAUUAGCUAGUAGGUGGGGUAACGGCUCACCUAGGCGACGAUCCCUAGCUGGCCUGAGAGGAUGACCAGCCACACUGGAACUGAGACACGGUCCAGACUCCUACGGGAGGCAGCAGUGGGGAAUAUUGCACAAUGGGCGCAAGCCUGAUGCAGCCAUGCCGCGUGUAUGAAGAAGGCCUUCGGGUUGUAAAGUACUUUCAGCGGGGAGGAAGGGAGUAAAGUUAAUACCUUUGCUCAUUGACGUUACCCGCAGAAGAAGCACCGGCUAACUCCGUG